AUUGAACGCUGGCGGCAUGCCUUACACAUGCAAGUCGAACGGUAACGGGCCUUCGGGUGCGGAGGGUGGCGAACGGGGGAGGAAUAAAUCGGAACGGGCCCGAUCGGGGGGGAAAACGAGGCGAAAACUUUGCUAAUACCGCAUACGAACUACGGAUGAAAGCAGGGGACCGCAAGGCCUUGCGCGGACCGAGCGGCCGAUGGCAGAUUAGGUAGUUGGUGGGGUAAAAGCUUACCAAGCCGACGAUCUGUAGCUGGUCUGAGAGGAUGAUCAGCCACACUGGGACUGAGACACGGCCCAGACUCCUACGGGAGGCAGCAGUGGGGAAUUUUGGACAAUGGGCGCAAGCCUGAUCCAGCCAUGCCGCGUGCAGGAUGAAGGCCUUCGGGUUGUAAACUGCUUUUGUACGGAACGAAAAGCCUUCUUUUAAUACAGGAGGGUCAUGACGGUACCGUAAGAAUAAGCACCGGCUAACUACGUG
rnacentral:rRNA from 1 species